GCUCAGAGAUGAGCUUGUGCCUUCGGGAACUUAGAGACAGGUGCUGCAUGGCUGUCGUCAGCUCGUGUUGUGAAAUGUUGGGUUAAGUCCCGCAACGAGCGCAACCCUUAUCCUUUGUUGCCAGCGAUUAGGUCGGGAACUCAAAGGAGACUGCCAGUGAUAAACUGGAGGAAGGUGGGGAUGACGUCAAGUCAUCAUGGCCCUUACGAGUAGGGCUACACACGUGCUACAAUGGCGUAUACAGAGGGAAGCGAA
rnacentral:rRNA from 1 species